GGUCCAAUGCCACGUCUCCGAUAGCCAUCUGAGCUGUGACCGGCGAUGCUAUGAUUGGACCAAGAACAAGAUUUUCGUUUCGCAUGUUGAUAGGAACCUGUGGAUCCCCUUUUCAAUGGAUCCAUGGAGCCGGUUUAUGCGAUUACAUAU